GUGAGGUAUACUGAUAAGUGUCUGUAAUUCUACCUAAUAUGGAGACUGGGGCAGGAGGAUAUCUUAAGUCAGGGGCUGUAGCGUGCUAUUAUGACUGGGUGUCUUUACCAAGUAUCAGUGGGAUUGCACUUAUGAAUAGCUAAAUGCACUCUAGCCUGGGCAACGUAGUGAGACCCUGUCCCAU
rnacentral:sRNA from 1 species